UGCGUUGGAAUAGAGGGGGUCAUGAGAAAGGAGAGGAGAGGUGAGUGAGUUGGAGAGAGCGGGGAGAGGGCCAGAGGGGAGGGGGCGGCGUAGGCGACGCGCACUGGUGUUCGAGGACGGCGUUGGUGCGCUGAGACGGGUGGCUGGUGGCGUAGACAGCGUACGUAGCCACCAACGGCGUGCUGCUUCCAGUGCCGACCAGGGCGCUGCCGGAGCCGACCUCCUCCUGCUAUCCAGGUAUCGCUGCCUGCGAGUUCAUUCUCCUCGCUGGGUUACCGCCGCCGGAGCUCGUGCCCCUAUUCACGUCCGACCCCUACGUCCUCUCCACGUUGCGCCACAAACCUCGAGGGUGCUCGACCCACGCCGCGUAGGCUGCUGCUGUCUGUGUCCCUGCGCAACUAGGCCCACACCCACGAGUUAAGCCAGGGCAAGACCGGCCUAGGCACCGCCACGAGUAGAGGCCGCUCCACCGGACACUGAGCGCCCUGCUGCCGCCGCGUUCUGGUGUCCUCCCCGAGUAGAGUACCCUGUACCCGCGCUCCAGAACAACCGAAGCCAACGGCCACCGAACUGCGUCCCCACCGGCCCCAGGCCGCGGUACCUCCGAGAAGCUCCUGCUCCUUCGUCUGUCGCUGCUGUUGAAACUCCGGCCGCCCCCGCGGCAGAGGCGCAAGCUACCAGCCCCAGAUUGCGCCGGCGGCAACCGAGGUAUGGGAUGUCAAUAGUACGCCUAUUCUCUUGGUUUUUGAUGGUGUAACUAUAGACGAAGUCCUUUUUACCAAACGUGACCUCGUUUUUCACUUGUCGUUACAUUUGAGCGUCGAUCUUUCCAGUUUAUAAACUGCUACAAAAGAAGAGGGUUGGACCGUUCCUCAUUCUUCAGUCAACCUCACUCUUCACUCUGUUCAUGUUACUCGAGUUCACUAAGUAAGUGGUUCGACCAUUUGCGUAUUUGAAGUUUUUUUAGUAGAGUUAUUCAAAACCAACCGACUAUCGAACGUUCUAGAAGUAUAAGAUGUAUCUUCCACGUCACACUACACUACGUAUACCUUGACCAUAAUGAAACGUCAUACCUUGACCGCCACCCACAUACUUUACACUACCGACAUUGUAAUAUGGAUUAAAGAAUAGUCAAGUACUAUACCAACAAACUUUACACUAUGGACCUGCACUCACAGAGACCGUGCCCUAGGACCUGCGGAGGCCGCCGCCGACCACUUUCCCUAUCGGCCUAGGACCUGCAGAAGCCGCUGCCCAGGACCUUCCCUAGCCGCGGCCUAGGACCUUCGCAAGCCGCCUCCCAGGAGUUGACCUGUACGUGGCCUAGUCACCUCCGGCCUAGUCACCUCUGGUCGCCGCCUAGUCACGGUCCCGCCGUCGCUUCCCUACCUCGCCGCCGCCACUUCCCUACUUCUCGCCGCCGCCUGCUUACUCCCGUGUCUGAGCCCACAGACAAAGAGCGAGCUCCCGUGCUCUGGAGCGAGCAUGCACACCCCCUAACCAAACGCUAAAAAAAGCAACCAAUUAAAAGCGGUCCAAAAAAAAGCAACCAAUUAAAAGCGGCCAAACAAGCACAAUCUACCCACGCUUCCCUCCAAUCCGCGCACCCCCGCCUACACCCUGAGCCGGGACUCCCAAAAAGAACCAAGUAGCGCCGACUCGCCCUCCACCCUCGUCCAUGGUUUUUUCUGGUCCACUCCACCCUGCUUUUAAUUUGGGCCUUGCGCUGGAUGGUUGACUCUAUAAUCCUCAUCUCUACUUAUUAUAUUUAAUCAAUUAUUAAUUGAUACAAACUCUUUGAGUGUAUCGCCAUCUUGACCUCCGCAUAGUUGUUCCUGGGUUUACAGGUAUCACAGAACAGCUACAAUCCUAGUGGUUCUAAGUACCACUGUUCGUAUGGGAGUAGUUUUGGUAUGUAGAACGUUUUACGAAAGAUUAAAAACGUUGGUUUUACCCAAUGCGAGGAUCUUAAUAUGUCUAAAUGAAGUUUUAGGUGUAGUACUACUCAAGAAUCCACUUAAAAGAAACAAAGUAUUAUUGAAAGGUACCAGAAAUUUUAGGUAUGAGAGGUUCUGUGUCGCAGAACGUACCGUACCCUAUUCGAUAUGAGCUUAACAUUUUCUACUUUUAAUGUGCAACUUUAUCAACUUCAGUACGAAUUAGUACUUUUUUUUGUGAACAGCAGUAACACAUGGCAAAGUUGAAGCUUCCAGAGGAGUUCGAAUUACGACUUCGCGGCUAGUAGCAGGUCCACUCCGGACAGCGUGUCUGGAGCUAGCAGCACCGUGGUCGGCGUGAGGGAGCCCUCUGAAAGUAGCAGGCUACUGCUGUAAAGGAUGCAAGUAUUAAGUUUUGAUGUAGUAGAGAACGCAGGCUACUGAACACGUAAAAGUCGGUCCGGGUCAGCUCAACCGGAUUUUUGUAAAGAAAGAAAUUCGGACGAUGUAGGUAGAGUUCAUAAAUACCAGUUCCCAAUCGUACCGGUAGGUUUAUCUUCAAACACUAUAACGGAUCCACAAAACCCUACCUUGGACAAUCACACAACAACGAUCCACAAAACCCUACUUUCGUCAUCGAAGGAACGUUUGGUGUUUUCUGUUUCCUUUUCCCCACUUUUCCCCCUUUACCAAUCGAAACUACUCGUCCGUCGUAGAAGGAUUGGGGAAGAAGAACAUAGGAGAGUGAUAGAGAGAGUGUGUGUACCGUUCGUUCCCACAGACUCACACACUUUUUUUUAUGAUUUGAUUAGGUUGGUGAUUUCGUGAUCUAGUGAUGAUAACCAACUAUAGUUCUAUGUACGACUAAUUAAAAACAAAGACAACUCUUAGCCCGUGGAAGAUUCAGUUCUUUUAAUCCGUACUGGAAACGAUUAAAAGAACUGGAUCCUCACGGGGUUAGAAUUGGCUUUGCCUUUAAUUAGUUGUAAAGUCCUCUUUCCCC
rnacentral:rRNA from 1 species